rnacentral:rRNA from 1 species
UGCGUAGGCGGCCUAGCAAGUUGGGUGUGAAAGCCCUCGGCUCAACCGAGGAAUUGCGCCCAAAACUGCUAGACUUGAGGAAGAUAGAGGUGAGCGGAACUGAUGGUGGAGCGGUGAAAUGCGUUGAUAUCAUUAGGAACACCGGUGGCGAAAGCGGCUCACUGGGUCUUUUCUGACGCUGAGGUACGAAAGCUAGGGGAGCGAACAGGAUUAGAUACCCUGGUAGUCC